CGAAGACUGCGAAGUGGAGCAAANCCCUAAAAGCCAUCUCAGUUCGGAUUGCAGGCUGCAACUCGCCUGCAUGAAGCUGGAAUUGCUAGUAAUCGCGGAUCAGCAAGCCGCGGUGAAUACGUUCCCGAGCCUUGUACACACCGCCCGUCACACCAUGAGAGUCGGGAACACCCGAAGUCCGUAGUCUAACCGCAAGGGGAGCGCGGCCGAAGGUGGGUCCGGUAAUUGGGGUGAAGUCGUAACAAGGUAUC
rnacentral:rRNA from 1 species